rnacentral:rRNA from 1 species
GACGAACGCUGGCGGCGUGCUUAACACAUGCAAGUCGAACGGAAAGGCCCUGCUUUUGUGGGGUUCUCGAGUGGCGAACGGGUGAGUAACACGUGAGUAACCUGCCCUUGACUUUGGGAUAACUUCAGGAAACUGGGGCUAAUACCGUAUAGGAGCUCCUGCUGCAUGGUGGGGGUUGGAAAGUUUCGGCGGUUGGGGAUGGACUCGCGGCUUAUCGGCUUGUUGGUGGGGUAGUGGCUUACCAAGGCUUGGACGGGUAGCCGGCCUGAGAGGGUGACCGGCCACAUUGGGACUGAGAUACGGCCCAGACUCCUACGGGAGGCAGCAGUGGGGAAUAUUGCACAAUGGGCGGAAGCCUGAUGCAGCAACGCCGCGUGCGGGAUGACGGCCUUCGGGUUGUAAACCGCUUUCGCCUGUGACGAAGCGUGAGUGACGGUAAUGGGUAAAGAAGCACCGGCUAACUACGUG